GAAGAAACACUUGAACCUGGGAGGCAGAGGUUGCAGUGAGCCGAGAUUGUGCCACUGCACUCCAGCCUGCGUGACAGAGCAAGAUCCUGUCUCAAAAAAGAAUAAUAAACAAAAUAAAAAGAAAACUACAAGAUCUGAAGAAAAAAAUUUAAAGACCUAAAUAAAUGGAGAGACAUACCACAUUCUUACAUGCAGACAUACUAUCAUACAGGUAUCGGUUCUCGGUAAUUGAUCUAUGGAUUCAUUGCAAUUCCAAUCAAAAUCCCAGCAGGACUUUCUGUAGAUUUAGACAAACUGAUUCUAAAUGCACCACACGUGGAAAAAUGAAAGAAGACUCACAUAACCCAACGUUACACUGACUGUGGAGUGACAGCGUGAGGCCAGCUUGGUGUUGGAGAAGGGGCAGACACACACCGAGGGAAGACGAUGGAGAUCCCAGAAACGGACGCACACAAAUAUGGCUCAUGGAUUAUUGACCAAGGUACACAAGCAAUUCAGUAGAGAAAGGAAGAUCUGGCCGGGCGCGGUGGCUCACACCUGUAAUCCCAGCACUUUGGGAGGCUGAGGCGGGUGGUUCACCUGA
rnacentral:lncRNA from 1 species